rnacentral:misc_RNA from 1 species
UACACGCUAGUGUCAUCUACAGUGUAAAAGUGUUUGCAAAAUUCUAUUAAAAUUAUAAAUUUUUUCGGCCAUUAGUUAUUCUAUGUACGUGGAAUUAAUCUGGACUAUAUUAACGUUCAAUUUUUUUAUUAUUCAUCUAUUUUUUCGUCACAGUUAAAUAAGAAAUCAAUUGUUCCUUUGACAAUCGUUUGGUGUUCUCAUCGACGUUUUGAAGCUUUCGCUUAACAUUGGGAGUGUUGAAUCAUAUUUGGGAAUAUGGCUGCUGCUGCUGCUGCUGCGUUACUCGACGAGCUUAUGGGAAGAAAUAGAAAUGUUCUUCCUAACGAAAAACCUAAAGAACUUAAUUGGGAGGAUCCUGAGUUUUGCAAAUUAUAUUUGGUUAAAUUCUGUCCUCACGAUUUAUUCGUUAACACUCGAGCUGAUCUCGGAGCUUGUUCUCGAGUUCACGAUGAUGAAGCAAGAGACCUUUUUGAGAAAGCGCCAUAUUCCUAUCGUAAACAACAAUAUGAAGAUGAAUUUAUUAGAUUUUGUCAAAGUAUGCUCAACGAGGUUGAAAGGAAAAUUGUAAAAGGCAAACAACGUCUUGCUCUUAUCGGAAGAACUGAAGCACCUACUCUGACUCCUGCACAAACUCAAAGAAACGAAGAACAAAUAGCUCUGCUAACGGAGAAGAUUAACAAAUUAGUCGAAGAAGCUGAACAAAGUGGAAUUCAAGGAAACGUUGAACAAGCUCAAGGCCUAAUGAGACUUUGUGACCAAUUAAAAGAAGAACGAGAAGCCCUUAGAAAGUCCAAUGACAAUAGUCAUUAUAAUCAAACCGCUGAAUUAGCUGCAGCUCAAGAAAAACAGAUGGAAGUUUGCGACGUGUGCGGUGCUUUUCUCAUUGUCGGAGAUGCUCAACAACGAAUCGAUGAUCACUUGAUGGGUAAACAACAUGUUGGUUAUGCCAGAUUAAAAACUGCUCUUCAAGAAAUUAUGUGUAAACGUGAAAAAGCACGAGACGAAAAAGAGCAGAAAAGAGAAGAAGAAAGAAAGCAGAGAGCACGUGCUAAUGAAGAACUCGACAGACGAAGGAGAGAAAGUGACAGAGAUAGAGAUAGAGAAAGAGAUAAACGUCGUAGACGUAUAGAUGAUGACAAGGGUAGACAUGACUCUGGGGGUCAUAGAAAUUCUGGUCAUAGAAGUAGGAGCAGGUCUAGAGAGAAACAUGAUCGGCAUCGCGAUGACGAUAAUCAUCGACGUCAUGCUCGCGAUAAAGGAAAUCGGGAUCAUCGAAGCUCGAGUCACCAUAAUCGUCGUCGCCAUCGAUCUCGAAGUCGAAGUCACAAGUAACUACUCUUGAUUGGUUAGUGAGUGAGAACUAAGCCAGGUAUGCACUAAACAGUUAACGAUAUAUUCGUCUCAUUUACUGUACAGGUUCUUUACCAGGUGAGUUUCAUUAGAUGCACAUAAUAUGUACAUGAUAAUUAUCUGUGAUUUUGAAGAAUCGCAUACAGUCACAACGUACCAGUCUUUGAUCCUGCCUAUUAAUUGGAGAAAUGCUCUUACUAAAUUUCAUAUGGACCUGAUUGUACAGCAUUUUAUUUUCAAUGUGACGAGCUCAUUGUAUGUAACAUAUAGCUUGAAAAAAAGCUGCAUCGAGGUAAUGUUGAGCGAGGAGUAGUAAAGUCGUUCACAAAAUAAAGGUAUAUUUAUCAUGUAGUAUUAUAGAUAUUGUCUACAGAGCAAGAUAGGAGAAGGUAUACCUAUGCUUGCUUUGAUCGGUAUAAUGUCUUCAUAGGUUAAAUACAGUAAAUUGUGUUAUGUCAACGACUGCAUAGCUUUUUUGUCGAAAAGAAAUUAGUGAAUUAGUGGAGGAAACAGUGCCUACUUCCGUAGACCUGCAACACGGCAGUGCCCUGUGUGACUGUGACUAUACAAACCUAGCUUCUGCUACGCAUUUCUGAGAAUGAAGACAGGACAAUGGAAAUUAACCAGUUUGAAGGAUCCACGUGCACUCCGCUUUAUGUAUUAUUAAGGUAAAGAUUUUGCAUAAUCUUCACAUUGAAAAUUUAU